rnacentral:lncRNA from 1 species
AUGUCUUCAUUAGUAUAUAAUAGUCCCCUUAUCUGUGGUUUUCUUUCUGUGGUUUCAGUUCUCCACGGAUGACUGGGUCAGAAGCAGAUGACCCUCCUUCUGACCUAUCAUCAGAAAGUCAGGGGGUGCCUGGCUGGCUCAGUCCAUGGAGCAUGCAACUCUGGAUCUCGGGGUUAUGAGGUCGAGCACCACAUCAGCUUUUUCCUCAAGAGGACGAGACCAAGAAUCACAAGCAUCCUGGCAGACUAAUAGUCUGAUGCCACUUACACCAAUUAUCUGUCCACCAUGGACUUCGGGGGUUGAGAAGAUCCAGAUUCUGUUUUAAUAAAAAUUGUACUAAAUCGUAUGUGAAAUCCUGGAGAUCUUGGAAUAUUAAAAGGGCAUUAGUGGAAAAACUGGUGAUUCAAAUAGUCCGUAGUUUAGUUAAUAGAGGUAUCCGAAUGUCUAUUACUUGGUUUUGAUAAACGCACCAUGGUUCUGUCAAUGGUAACAUUAGGGGAAAUUGGUGAAGGCUAUGAAAGAAUUCUCUGUACUCUUUUUGCAACUUUUCUGGAUGUCUAGAAUUAUCCCAAACUAAAAUAAAAUACUAAACAAAACAAUACAAAACAAACCUCCUAGCCCC